GUCGUAAUUAUCAAUCACGAUGAU
rnacentral:snRNA from 1 species